GAAUCUGGGAACUUCCUAGACACAACCCGGAUAAAUUAAUGAUGGGGUUGGAUUCAAGUUAUUUUCAAAAGGAUGGAAUUUCAGCUGUUCCCUGUAGUGAUGGAGCAAUAAUCUCUUUGCAAUUUCUGGGGUUUUGCCCCCACAGACUACAAAUAUGGAUUGCUUUCUACUUCUUGGUCCAAUGCUGAAGAAUCCAACAAGGCAUCCUCAUGCCAAGCACAUGGUAGACCCAAACACAUUUUUGAUGAUUUAAAAACAGCAGCGGCAACAACAAAACCCUAGUAGAGGCCAUGUUCAUCCUACGCUAAGGACAUGCCUUUGGACCACAGAAGACUCAGUAGACUGCCAGGAGCACCCUCUGUGGAGGGGACACUGGCUGAGGCAGGAGGCGUACAGCUGCUGCUUCUGGUCUCAGAUUGCUACAGCCCUGACUGCUGGGAAAAGAAAAAUCACCCUCCAAUGUGUGCAUCCAGACAACUGCACGCAGAGAGCCAGGAAGGAUGAAAAAUGGGAUCUCCUUGACUGGGCGCUCCUCCUGGGGAGACAUCAGCUAUAGUGGAGUAAGAUCUGGUGGCUCUGCCUGUCCAAGUCUGGACAAUGGGAAAGCCAGGUGACAGCCCAGUGGACCGGAAAGCAAGGGGUCAAACUGUGGGUCAUGCGGUUUGCCUUCGGGAAGUCGGGUCCCAGGGCACAACCAGGACUGGAAGCUGCCCCCCACCAAGGGCCUUGGCUGCUGUGGACUUUGGCCUGCGGAGGGGUGUGCUCACCUCAGGCCCGCACCGAUCACUGGCUCUCGGCAAGCAGCAAGGACAGUGGAUUGAGAGCAAUGCUGCUGUUUAUCAGGAUGUGUGCUCUUGAAAAAGAAGUAUUUCUCUGAAAGCCUCAAUAGCUUGAAAAAAAAAAAAAACAUCAAUGCAAGGAGACAUUUCUUUUUUCUUUUUUUCGUUUAACAGGCAGAGUGGACAGUGAGAGAGAGACAGAGAGAAAGGUCCUCCUUUGCCGUUGGUUCACCCUCCAAUGGCCGCUGCGGCCGGCGCACUGCACUGAUCCGAAGCCAGGAACCAGGUGCUUCUCCUGGUCUCCCAUGGGGUGCAGGGCCCAAGCACUUGGGCCAUCCUCCACUGCACUCCCUGGCCACAGCAGAGAGCUGGUCUGGAAGAGGGGCAACCGGGACAGAAUCCGGCACCCCGACCGGGACUAGAACCCGGUGUGCCGGCGCCGCUAGGUGGAGGAUUAGCCUAGUGAGCCGCGGCACCGGCUGCAAGGAGACAUUUCAACUAAAUACAACGUCUAAUCCUGGACCGAAUCCUGGAAGACUCUGCCAUAAGGACAUUGUCUUGACACCUGGAAAAGAGUGAAUGUUGCCAGCGUAUGAACUUUCUGCGAAUGCGCCUGGAAAGCAGCGGGGGAUGACCCAAGCACUUAGGCCUCUGCUACCCAUGUGGGAGACCCGGAUGAAGCUCCUGGCUCCUGGCUUUAGGCUGGGCUCUUGCGGCCAUUUGGGGAGUGAACCAGCAGAUAGAAGAUGUCUUUCUCCGUCUCUCCCUCUUUCUCUCUGUGCCAUUCUUCCUUUCAAAUAAAUAAAAUAAACCUUAAAAAUUG